ACGCACGCUGGCGGCGUGCUUAACCCAUGCAAGUCGAACGGAAAGGCCCUGCUUUUGUGGGGUGCUCGAGUGGCGAACGGGUGAGUAACACGUGAGUAACCUGCCCUUGACUUUGGGAUAACUUCAGGAAACUGGGGCUAAUACCGGAUAGGAGCUCCUGCUGCAUGGUGGGGGUUGGAAAGUUUCGGCGGUUGGGGAUGGACUCGCGGCUUAUCAGCUUGUUGGUGGGGUAGUGGCUUACCAAGGCUUUGACGGGUAGCCGGCCUGAGAGGGUGACCGGCCACAUUGGGACUGAGAUACGGCCCAGACUCCUACGGGAGGCAGCAGUGGGGAAUAUUGCACAAUGGGCGGAAGCCUGAUGCAGCAACGCCGCGUGCGGGAUGACGGCCUUCGGGUUGUAAACCGCUUUCGCCUGUGACGAAGCGUGAGGGACGGUAAUGGUAAAGAAGCACCGGCUAACUACGUG
rnacentral:rRNA from 1 species